rnacentral:lncRNA from 1 species
AGAGGCGAAUCUAGGAUUUUUCGAAUAUGGGUGCACCAAGAAAAAUGUAUUAAGUGGGAAUUGAUCCGAACAUGGGUGCACCAAAAAAAAUCUAUUAAGUGGGAAUUGAUCCUCAGUCCUCAAAGUCAAAAGCUCAACAUUUAACCAUGUGGACCAACUAGACUUUUUAUAGUACGGGUGCAAGAAUAUAAUAUUAUACAAAUGUUAGAAAAUAUAUACAUAAAAUAUCUAAUUUUACGAAGAGACCACGGGUUCGAGUGCCCUAUUUUUUGCACCUAAAUUCGCCACUGCCU